AUGCUUACCUGGCAGGGGAGAUACCAGGAUCACGAAGGAGGUUUUCCCAGGGUGAGUCUUAUCCAUUGCACUCCGGAUGUGCUGACCCCUGCAAUUUCCCCAACUGGGGGAAACUCGACUGCAUAAUUUGUGGUGGUGGGGGACUGCAUUUGCACUCUCCCC
ensembl:snRNA U1 U1 spliceosomal RNA